rnacentral:rRNA from 2 species
UAAUACAUGCAAGUCGAGCGGAGUUUUGAAAAGCUUGCUUUUCAAAACUUAGCGGCGGACGGGUGAGUAACACGUGGGCAACCUGCCCUUGAGACGGGGAUAACUCCGGGAAACCGGAGCUAAUACCGGAUAACACAUAUCUUCGCAUGAGGAUAUGUUAGAAGGUGGCUUUUAGCUACCACUCAAGGAUGGGCCCGCGGCGCAUUAGCUAGUUGGUGAGGUAACGGCUCACCAAGGCGACGAUGCGUAGCCGACCUGAGAGGGUGAUCGGCCACACUGGGACUGAGACACGGCCCAGACUCCUACGGGAGGCAGCAGUAGGGAAUCUUCCGCAAUGGACGAAAGUCUGACGGAGCAACGCCGCGUGAGUGAUGAAGGUUUUCGGAUCGUAAAGCUCUGUUGUUAGGGAAGAACAAGUACCUGUUAAAUAAGCAGGUACCUUGACGGUACCUAACCAGAAAGCCACGGCUAACUACGUGCCAGCAGCCGCGGUAAUACGUAGGUGGCAAGCGUUGUCCGGAAUUAUUGGGCGUAAAGCGCGCGCAGGCGGUUCCUUAAGUCUGAUGUGAAAGCCCACG